CUUAGCCAAAGAAACAUUCUGGCCACACUAUGGCCAUGCAGUUUUUUAUUUACAUCCUUUUCUUGUCCAUUUGGACAAUCAAUUGUCUAAAUAGAAAUCUAAUUAAUAACUCAUCUACCAACACUACUAUAGAAGACAGCAGUCCUUCGGCACAAUCAAAACUGAACAACUUGAAGAAGUACCUAUCUGAUAUCAUAAGUAUAGUUUUGGUUGGAGCACCGAA